rnacentral:rRNA from 1 species
CCCAGACUCCUACGGGAGGCAGCAGUGGGGGAUAUUGCACAAUGGGGGGAACCCUGAUGCAGCGACGCCGCGUGGGUGAAGGAGCGUUUCGGCGCGUAAAGCCCUAUCGGCAGGGAAGAAGGAGGACGGUACCUGACUAAGAAGCCCCGGCUAACUACGUGCCAGCAGCCGCGGUAAUACGUAGGGGGCAAGCGUUAUCCGGAUUUACUGGGUGUAAAGGGGGCGCAGACGGCAGCGCAAGCCAGGAGUGAAAGCCCGGGGCCCAACCCCGGGACUGCUCUUGGAACUGCGCGGCUGGAGUGCAGGAGGGGCAGGCGGAAUUCCUGGUGUAGCGGUGAAAUGCGUAGAUAUCAGGAGGAACACCGGUGGCGAAGGCGGCCUGCUGGACUGCGACUGACGUUGAGGCCCGAAAGCGUGGGGAGCAAACAGGAUUAGAUACCCCUGUAGU